rnacentral:lncRNA from 1 species
GCUAAUCCUCUCCUGUGCAGUCGAUAGCUCCACUCUGAGAGAACUGAUCUUGGCAGCUUGAGCCCAAGAUCGAUCGCUGGCACACUUCUUGUGUUCCUCGAGCUCCUUCUCGAAGUUUGCCUUCCUCCAGUUGUACUCCAUGAUCCCCUUCACGUGGAGGUUCCGAAAGCGGGUGGCCUCCGCGGUGGCUUCAGAGUGGCUCUCCCUCAACCUGCGAAGCUCACCAUCCAUCUCCUUCGACCUUUUUGUCAAAUGAUGAACUUUCUUCUUCAGA